CUCAGCCAAGAAGGUCUGAAAGUCACCGGCCCAGAGAACUCAGGCAGAAGAGUGUUGCCCAAGAGAAGGAGUUCUUGAGAGGGGAGCAGUGGGCAGUGCUAGGGGUGGGGAGCUGGGAGUGGACCUGGAAACUAGAAACCUGGGUUUCUCCACUGACCACACUAAAAGGAAAGGCCUCUCCUGGAAGGUGACACUCUGUGCAGGCACUGGGCCUGGAAGGGCCUCAGGGCCUUGUUCUCAGGCAGGUCAGGGUCCUGGCUGGACUCAGGGUGCAGCUAAAUUGCGACCUGAAACAGAACACUGGAGAACCUAGUGCCCCAACAUGGAUUCUAUUGGAGGAGGAAGUGGGUCUCUGGUUCCCAAAGAACUUGCCAGGAACAUCGCCAGCCUCCCCCACCGUCUACGGAGCCUCACACCAUCUCCCUCCCGACCCCUUUCGGUUCCCCCUGGCUCGAAUAGGCCACUGGGCUAACGCAGUAAUUAUCAUCUCCGCCAAGCCAGGCCAACGCCAUCUAACUGUCUAAUGUGGGAGAAGAUGAGACUUCAGGAGGCCUCGAGCACACAUCGUUUUGUUUGUCGGAGUAAGUUUGGAAAACCCCAGUUGUGCGGCUGCCUCUCUGCACGGGAAUGGCCUUUCGAGAUGGUUUUGGGGUGCAGUCUGUGGGUUCAUCCUCUGCGGAACUGCAUUUAAACAGCAGAUUAAAACGGGGCGACGACAGCACAGUUCUCAUGGUACCGAUGAAGAAGCAGAACUCGACAUGCUUCAACUCAGUCACUCUACAUGACUCCAUCUAGUUUCUAUUUGUGUUUAAAAUUUAAAACAGCGAAAUAGUAAGAACUGGGACAAGAAGUGUUUAUGUUUGGUAACCACAAGUUUUGGUUCAUACAUGAAACAUUCUCCUGAAUUUGAACGAUCUUUUCAAGAUGGGUUUCCCACGGCUGCUGUAACAAACUGCGAUCGACUUGGUGGUUUGCUACAAUGUAAAUCUAUCGUCUGACAGUUCUGGAGGCUGGAAGUCUGAAAUGGGUGGCCUCCUGGCCCAAACCAAGGUGUCGCCAGAGCUGCGCUCUCUCCAGAGACUCUGGGAGGAUCCCUGGCCUUUUCCGGCUUCUGGAGGCUGCCUGCAUUGCUUGGCUUGUGGCUCCUUCCUCCAUCUUCAAAGUGCUUCACUCCGAUCUCUGCUUUUGUCCUUACACAGCUGUCUCCUCUGCUCUCAGAUCUCCCUCUGCCUGGCUUUUAGAAGAACCUAUGCAAUUACUUUUAGGGCCCACCUGGAUAGUCCAAGAUAAUCUCCCCAACUUGAGAUCCUUAACUUCAUCACAUUUACAAAGUGUCUUUUGCCAUAUAUGGUAAUAUUUACAGUUUCUCAGGAUUAAGAUAUCUUGGAAGGCCGUCGUUCAGCCCACCACAAUUAACAAGAGUCAUUUUGUUGUAUAGGGUGGGCGUUAAAAAAUCACCCGCUUUGGAUGUGAAAUGAGGCCUGAGUUUGGCACCGCAGGGGACACCUGUGGAGAGCAGAUUUUGUCGCAGGUGAAGGGAGAGUGUACUUUGCUGCAAGUCAGGGAUGCGUGUGUGUGCGUGUUUGUGUGUGUGUGGUCCUUGGGCUUGACUGGGUGGUGUUCGAAGGGCAAGGAUGGGGCUGUUUGCAGGGCUGUAGAAUCUAGGACUGCUCCAGGGCCCUGUAGGAUCUUCAUGAUUUGUUCUUAGGACGCUUGUUCUCGGGAAGUGUUCCUCAUGGCACACGUUAUUACCGCUUGCCGUGCAUACACAUGCACAGGACAGACUCACUCCUGUCCAUAACUUAUCGAGGGCCGGCUACGUGCAGGCACACUUCCAGGCAUGGGAGAGUUGGCAGUGAGCACACAGGCAGUCCCUGUGCUCAUGGAGCUUACAACACGUCCCCAUGUAUUUAUCUCUCCCAUAGAACGCACGCUCCCCAAGGACCGGCACUUUCCUGUUACUUGGCCACUCCCUAGGAAGACAGCCUGGCACCUGGCAGGCCUCAGUGAACACUUGUUGAACGAGUUAAUGUCUUGCUGGGUCCUUUGAGAGCAGGUUGGGUCAAGAUGAACCAGCGCAUUCUGGCUUUGAAGCCCAGUCUGGAGAGUGGAGGCCAGGGCGCUGCAGGGAGCCACGCGGGAGGAUGGCGUGACCUGCACAGGAGGGACGGCCCUGCCUGGGCACGGUGAGGGAGGUGGAGGAGUGAGAGACUGUGCCCAGAUGUCCAGCUGGAGUAACCUGGCAGAUGGUGGAGCUGUUCAGAGGCGGACGCACACCUGUCUGCAGCCCCCAGGAGACACAGCCGGAGCUGAGAGCCUGGUUAACCCUUCGCUAUACUGAAACAUCUUCCAUCGAGGCAGGCCGAGAGGGGUGGACAUCAUCACUCUGUUUAAUAGACGGGAACGGGUGCUCAGAAGGGUUAAGUCGCUUGCUUGGGAGCGCCGAGCUGCGGUUUGGACCAGGUCUGUUCGCCUCGUGGGUUCCAACUCCUGUGCAGGACGUUCAGUGACCAAGCACGUGGGCUUCCGAGUCUGCCGGCCUUGCUGCGAAGUUUGCCUGUGACUUUGCAUCUCUUUGGACAAUCCGUUUCCAGCUCUGAAAAAUGAGGGAAAUACCAGUCAGCUCUUCUCAAGGUUGUCGUGAGGAUUAAGUGAAGAAAUGGACGCGAAGCCUUGACGGAGUGCAUGUCUUUAUCUGCCCAGCUGCCUGGGUCUGGGAAUGAGUUUUCCAUGAAGAUUUUCUUUGAAUAGAGGGGAAAUGUCCAGACAAAAUGUGGAGGUUUUUACCUCCUCCUCGGGAUGAUGACAUCGCAAUGACUUUUAAAGCUAAAUUUUCCUCGAAAAGAGAAAGUAGCUCGGUCGCUGCUGGUGUGAGCAGUGGCCUCUCUCCUCCGUGGUCUCGGCUGGCAGCUGAGGGGCCUGCGUCAGCCCCCGCCCAUCUUGCCUUCCUCGGGCAGCAGAUCUCUGACACGGCACACCGGCAAGCCACCAGGAGAAUCCGGAGAGCGAUGAACCUGACCCGCGCCUACAAGGCUUAAAGAUAUGGUAAUGCAAUUAGCAGCCUCGGCAGCCUAAUGAAGGCUCUCUGAAAUGCUGAUAAAACACCACUGAAGAAAAAUGCUUAAGAGCCUCUUCAAACUUUCCAAAAUGUGAAGUGUGUCCUUACGGAGAAAAUGGCAAUCUAGUCUCCUUUCUCCAAGGUUCGAGAUUAAUUAGGGGCUUAUUUAGUGCAUGAAUGAGGAAACAAAUGAACUCUGGGAUCGCAAAGCAUUGAAACCAAUUUUUUAAUCUUUUUUUUACAAUUACAUCCGUAUCAUAAAAGUCUUCAUUAGACGUUGUCACCAGUGCAUAUUGUGCCGGAAAGUGUCGCCAUCCUGGGCUUUUGACGAGACCGCAUUUGCUUCCCAUGAAAGGGGCUCUUCUAACAAAGCCUUCUCUUUCUUCCUAACGGCAAACGGCUGGGGCUUGGAUGGCUAGUCCAGGCCAGGGGGAAAUUCAUCUCCCGCCUUGCCCUCCUCAAGCUGAGUUCACCUGUAAACAUGGUUUCUUCCCAAACAGGACAGACGGACGAGGGGCUGGGUGAAUGGACCGGGCUCCCUGCAUGGCACAUGCAUUUAUUCAGCCAGUUGUGAUGACAAGACGGGUGUGGGCAGAGACGGGAGCCCUGCGUAUCUCUUUCUGCCCCUCCCCACAAACAACCACUGAGUGGAAGCCAGUCCAAACAGCCGCCCUGCUGCCAUCCGCAGAUCUGUGCCUUUCAUUUGGCCAGCAGUCACUGGGCACCCACCAGCGCUGCGUACUGCUAGGUGCCGGAAGUACGGCAGUGAGUCAAACCCACAUUCUUCUGCUCAUGGACCUCUAGACUAGGGUUGAUGGCCUUGAUAUCUGCAAGUGACCUGGAUCGUUUCUGGUUCUGGUCUGCCUGCGCUGGGAUUCCACAGCAGACACCAUCUUUAUCUCUUGGAUGUGUCUAUACAGCUGAGCAACAUGACGGGUUGCAUGAACACCUAAUGCUAAGCUGACCUCUGGUAAAUCUUUCACCUGCCUGUGCCUCUCCUCUUCAUCCAUGGAUUGGGGACACGACUACCUGUGACUGCCGUGUCACACUGUGGUGGACGGAUUCUCGGAGGCAUGAUGUCUCCUCCUGGUGUUCAUGCCCCUUGAGUGGGGGUGGAACCCGUGACUGACAGGAUGUGUGUGAGUAUGCUACAGAAGAUUAUAGUGCCAUCUAGCAAGGAAACCCUCCCUUGCUGGCUUUGAGGAAGCAAGUUGCCAUGUUGUGAGUUGCCUUUGGAGGGUCCAUGAGCCAAGGAGCUGAGAGUGGCCUCCAGCUGACAGCCAGCAAGAAACUGAGACCCUCAGUCCAACAGUCCACAGAGCGCUGAAUUCUGCCAACAACCACAGGAGUUUGGAAGCAGAUCCUUCCCUGAUCCAGCUUCAGAUGAGACUGCAGCCCUGACCUUGAUGGCAGCCUCAUGAAACCCUGAGCUGAAGGACCCAGACCAGCUGUGCCAAGACUCCUGACCCACAGAAACCGUGGGGUAGUACACGUGUGUUGUUUCAAGCUCAUAAGCUUUGUGGAAAUUUGUUACGCAGCUGUAGGAAACUAGUAAGCCCAGGUAGACAUCUAUGUGGGUACACAGGUUGGUUAAUUUUCAACGACAGGCACUGUUAUGACAGUAAGCAUUGGGGUGAGACAGUGGCCACCAUUUAUUGAGAGGCUUCUGUGUGGCUGAUGCUGUUCCAGCUGUUGAACAGCAAGAAUGGCACCAGGAGACAGUGACAAGAGUGCAGGGUCUGAGGUCAGAACGCCUGGGUCCGAAUCCAGCUCCACCACUUCCUAGCUGCAUGAGGCUGGAUAGAUGCUCUAACCUCAAUGAGCCUGAGCUUCUUCAUAUAAAAUAGGGGUAAAGAUAGUGCCUUCCCCUUUCUCAGAGAAUGAGUAAAUGAAAUACUGUGUACAAGAGUAUGUAACUAAACGCGAG
ensembl:lncRNA